GGCUUUUUAGACUUAUGUUCUACUUCCAAAAAAUUAGUGUUAACAGCUUUGCAGAUGGUUUUACAAAAUAACCUGGCCACAAAAAACUCCAUUUUUCUAGCAGCAAUAUGGUUGGGGCUACACCUUCUCCCUUGUCCUGUCCCCCAUUUCCCUACCUUCAAAAGGCAAAAUCCAAACAUUACAAUGCGGGCAAAUAUUCCCUCGUGCAUGGGUUUUCUUUUGUAGUCCAAGAAAGGGGAAUCAAUGGACAGGUUCAUAGACUGCCCGUUGAUUGUUCAUAGACAUAAAUGUUAUAGCCGGAAUCUUUCUCAGAGUUCAUCUAAAACAAAUCUGCCAAUUUACUGAGGAGACUCCAAAAACUGGAGGGACUUUGGGAAGGUCAUGUGCCUUCUGAGUAAAGUACUAACUCUUAAGUACUGCAGCCUGCCGCAGGUAUGGGAAGGUGGGGAGACCUGGAUUAAGUGCUUUAUCUAGUACUGCUGAAAGGAUCUUGAUCAAACUCACUUUAUACUCCACGACUCCAUUUCUGUCCUGCUCUAGGUGUUUCCUCUUUGGAGAGUCAAAGCCUUUUCUUCCUUUCCCUAUCCCAGAUUUUGCUCCCCUCUUUCCUUUCCUUCUGCUUUCCUUCUCACACUCCCCAACCGUGAGAUUUUAUUUGGAUUUUUAAAAUGAAACCAGGUGCUGCAUAAAACAAAAGCAAAGUAAUAACAAGGAAAGACUAUCCAAUGCCUAAGGAAUGUGCUGAGUUUUAUGACUCAGGCUGUCCUGGCAAAGAAAUCUGACUUACACGGAGAGGUGGGUGGCACAGAGCACAGACCAUACAUGGCAGCCGUGGCCUCCCCAGAUAGGCCAUGGUCAAGGCAGCCUGUGACUCAUUUCACAAAACCAGAGACUCUUGUUCCUUGUGGAACAAGACCUCCCAGAGGCCAGAGCCCAACGAGCAGCUUUUCCCAGCUGGGCCAGUUCAGUCUGACAUUACCAGGGGCCACCCUGAGGCCCGGUUUGAAUGGGACUGAUGCUGCUCCUUGUGGUUUGCGCCACGGCAAGACGGCUGACACUUUCGAAUGAGAAUGAACCUUGACUGGCAUAAAUGAGAUCUCCAGGCUGCAGCCUCGUGGCACACGGGCUCAUUCUUCCUUCUUUCUUUUUGCUUUCCCUUUUCAUGGACUGGCCGUCUGAAGACUACUGUGACUACCGUAAUUGCAGGAAAAGCUCUGCUUAACUUUUUCAUGAAGGUCUACAUACCUGGAAAAAUAAAGUCUUUUAAGGACGAUGACUUCAUAAAUAUUUAUAGUGUGGACAGGCGUCACUCUAGGUCUGCGGGGGAAGUGGGCUCCUUCAGUUUUAUUUAUUAUGUGACAUUUCAGGUGAGUGACACCCGUCACCUGGGUUGGUCCUAUGCUCUGUUCCACUGAAGCAUGUUUAUGGAGUGAUUAUGCCUGCAAAUAUUUUCUAUAUUUAGUUCCUCUCCUCCCCUAACCCUCUCUUAGCCCUCUUAACUCUCCAAACCAGCUAAAAGCCAAGCUGACGGUCUAGGGGAGAUUUGAACCCAAAUGACAAGGCAGAGGGACUCCAACAAGUGCUGUAGACGCAUUUGACGAAUUGGGAGGCAAUUAGAGUGGGAAUGAUGACUGUUAACCAUCGCUUUCGUAGACUACGACAGUUUUGUUGGGCCUGCGUCUAGCAGGUGAAGCUCUCAGCUGGCCAUGAGGGGUUUUGACAGGUGAUGGGCACAGCCUUGAGUGAUGGAUGCAGAGGGAUACUUAGCGCUUUCCUUUCCAGGGAGCUUUCUCUGGACAGGACUUCAGAGGCCCUCUGUUCUGUCACUGAGCACCCCAGGGCUUUGGGGGUAGGAGCUGGUGAGCAUCCUGUGACUCCCUCUUGGUCAAGAUCUCUGGUGUCACCUGAGAUUUUCCUCUCUCAGCCAUACCUGGCUCUAUGUGUGAUAGAGUAAGGGGGCAGCAGCUGUGGAGGGGAGCAGGCCAGCUCUGGCUUUCUGGCUUUACAGCUGCACAUGCCCUGACCUAAGCCCUUCAGGCUGCAUUUAGAUCUACCUCAGGGCUCCAUAUUUGCCACUGAUCAGCUUGACCACCUAUUGUUUACCCUAGGAAGAGCCAGGUCUUGGCAGAAGGGCCCAAAGCUUUGCCAGUAUUUUAUUUUUAGAGACAGGAAAAUGUCUGCUUUUUGGCAGCUGUGCUCUUUUCUUGGCACACACCAGGAAUGGGGUAAAGAAGUUCAAGUGAGAGAUUCCAAUCCCUAAAUUCAUGUCAUAUGACACAGAUGAUAGCAUCAUGAAUCUUUCCAUGGGAGCCUUCAUGGAGUCUAAAAUCUUUUGUUAGAAUGCCUCCUUAGCAAGGCUGUGGCCCACCUGCCACAUCCUGGUAGCAAGAGGCCUCUUGUCCACAAAUCUCAUAGCUUGGACAGCUAAGGAGCUCCUUUUCAGUGUGUCAGCUCCUGAAAUAUAAAGUUUUUUACCUCUGUUCACUUCCUUGUCUAUCAAUCCAUUUAAUCUAGUUCAGUCUGGUAGGCAAAGUUAAAAAAAAAAAAAAGAAAUGGAUCAGUCCUCUAAAUGCUAUGUUCAUCAACCCUCCUCAGACCCACUGACAUUGUCAUCAUGGUUAUUGGUGCCAGGCAGCCAGCUUUUAUGGCAACAAGUGUACUACUAGACUCAGAGAUUGCAUUUCUCAAUUUUAUGGGAAUUAUUAUUUGUUCCAGCAUGGCUGCUCUUAAAACAUACUUUCGUAGGUCCUGUGAUUCUGGCU
ensembl:lincRNA